rnacentral:rRNA from 1 species
AAACUAAAUGGGAUUCCUUAUGUAAUGGCGAAUGACCAAGGAUGUGAUUAUGUUGUCAAGCAGGCCUUGGUCCUGCAUUGCACAGUGAUGGUGAAAUGCCAGCAGAAAGGUGUAUGUGAUUUUCUGGGUGGUCCAGCAUAGUAGGUGAAACUCCUUCUGUGGAUGCAUCGAUUUCUGCAUAGAGCAUGCACCCCUGAGUCGUGCUUCUUGGGACUGAAGUGCAAAUGUGAUGGUAAGGCUCAUCUAAAUCUCAAUAUUGACUUGAGGCCAAUAGUAAAUAAGUACCAUGAGGGAACUGUGAAAAGAACUUUGAGAAGAGAGUUAAAAGUCCUUGAAACUGCUGUGGGUGAAAGCAAAUGGGAGUUUGAGAAGCAGCAAGGUUGCUGUGUCAUUGAAUGUCAACCCUGCUAUGAGCUUCGUACUGUGGGGUGUGGCACCUUUGUCACUGUGUUCCUUGCUCUGUCUGCUUACACUCUGCCUUUGCACAUGUGCGAAUUGUUGGGGAUUGCUAGCGUUAUGCUGCAAGCUGAUGUGCAGACAUGGCAAAUGGCUGAAUGUAUCGAUGCAAAUCAGCAGCUGCACUGUGCCUUGCAUGUGCAGCUGCAUCAUCUGUAUUGUCUUGCUGGAAGGUCCAUUUGACCCGUCUUGAAACACGGACCAAGGAGUCUAAUGCUUGUGUAAGUAUGUGGUUUGAUUACCAUCAUGUGUAAUUGAUUUGGUGUUUGGGAUGUUUGCACCAACAGCCAACCAAUUGACUGAAAGAGGUUUGAGGUUGAACAUGAGUCUUAGGACCCGAAAGAUGGUGAGCUAUGCCUGGGCAAUAUGAAUUCAGAGGAAACUCUGGUGGAAGUUUGCAGCGCUACUGACGUGCAAAUCGUUCGUCAAAUCUGGGUAUAGGGGCGAAAGACUAAUCGA